rnacentral:rRNA from 1 species
CUAAUUUGACUCAACGCGGGAAAACUUACCAGGUCCAGACACGGGAAGGAUUGACAGAUUGAGAGCUCUUUCUUGAUUCUGUGGGUGGUGGUGCAUGGCCGUUCUUAGUUGGUGGGUUGCCUUGUCAGGUUGAUUCCGGUAACGAACGAGACCUCAGCCUGCUAAAUAGUCACAUCUGCCUCUCGCAGUUGGCCGACUUCUUAGAGGGACUAUUGUCGUUUAGGCAAUGGAAGUAUGAGGCAAUAA